rnacentral:rRNA from 1 species
AAUGGCCUAUAGGCUGAACCAGUAACUCGGACGAAUGAAAAGUCCAGGGAUGGACAAUGAGUAAUCAUAUAAAGUUCUGGGCGUAAAGGAAUUAUGACUAUUUAUGUCCAUAAGUAUUGACCAAAUUACGUGCCAGCAGUCGCGGUAAUACGUAGAAUACGAGUGUUAUUCAUGUUUAGUCGGUUUAAAGGGUACCUAGACGGGAAAUCAAGCUAAAAUAAGGACUAGUUUCCUUGAGUUUUAUGUGGGAGAAAAGAAUUGUUAGAAGAGAGAUGAAAUGUUAUGAAACUAACAGGACUGGUAACGGCGAAGGCAUUUUUCUACGUAAAAACUGACGUUGAGGGACGAAGCCUGGGGUAACGAUAAGGAUUAGAUACCCUAAUAGUCCCAGGAGACAAUUAUGAAUGUCAUAGGCUAGCUAGUGCAUACUAAAAAUUCGAUAUUAUGUAAUAUGCAAGCCUAUAAAUGAAAGUGAAAGCAUUCCACCUUAAGAGUACAGCGGCAACGCCGAAAUUGAAAUCAUUAGACCGUUAUUGAAAACAGUAGUGAAGUAUGUUAUUUAAUUCGAUGAUCCGCGAAUAACCUUACCACAAUUUGAAUAUUAUGAAAAUAUUACAAGUGCUGCACGGCUGUCUUCAGUUAAUGUCGUGAGAUUCUGGUUAGAUCCAUUAAUUAGCGAAAACCCUUACUAUAUUUGUUUUUUAUAUAGUAGUUCGCCGUGAUAUUGGUACUAUAAAAGGGACUAAGACAAGUCAUCAUGGCCUGACAUAUUG